AAAUAUGAAAUAUGAUUUCGGCUCGUAAAAAGGACUAAAAUCCCAUAUUU
rnacentral:tRNA from 1 species